rnacentral:rRNA from 1 species
GACGAACGCUGGCGGCGCGCUUAACACAUGCAAGUCGAGCGAAGCGGCGGACGGGUGAGUAACACGUGAGUAACCUGCCUUUUACACAGGGAUAGCCUCGGGAAACCGGGAUUAAAACCUGAUGGUAAAAGAUGGACUCGCGUCCCAUUAGCUAGUUGGUGAGGUAACGGCCCACCAAGGCAACGAUGGGUAGCCGGCCUGAGAGGGUGAACGGCCACAUUGGAACUGAGAAACGGUCCAAAUGCUACGGGAGGCAGCAGUGGGGAAUAUUGCACAAUGGGGGAAACCCUGAUGCAGCGACGCCGCGUGAGCGAAGAAGGCCUUCGGGUCGUAAAACUCUGUUGUUAGAGAAGCGUUAGUAACUGAACGUCCCCUGACGGUAUCUAACCAGAAAGCCACGGAACUACGUGCCAGCAGCCGCGGUAAUUC